AAAUUGAAGAGUUUGAUCAUGGCUCAGAUUGAACGCUGGCGGCAGGCCUAACACAUGCAAGUCGAACGGUAACAGGAAGCAGCUUGCUGCUUCGCUGACGAGUGGCGGACGGGUGAGUAAUGUCUGGGAAACUGCCUGAUGGAGGGGGAUAACUACUGGAAACGGUAGCUAAUACCGCAUAAUGUCGCAAGACCAAAGAGGGGGACCUUCGGGCCUCUUGCCAUCGGAUGUGCCCAGAUGGGAUUAGCUUGUUGGUGGGGUAACGGCUCACCAAGGCGACGAUCCCUAGCUGGUCUGAGAGGAUGACCAGCCACACUGGAACUGAGACACGGUCCAGACUCCUACGGGAGGCAGCAGUGGGGAAUAUUGCACAAUGGGCGCAAGCCUGAUGCAGCCAUGCCGCGUGUAUGAAGAAGGCCUUCGGGUUGUAAAGUACUUUCAGCGGGGAGGAAGGGAGUAAAGUUAAUACCUUUGCUCAUUGACGUUACCCGCAGAAGAAGCACCGGCUAACUCCGUGCCAGCAGCCGCGGUAAUACGGAGGGUGCAAGCGUUAAUCGGAAUUACUGGGCGUAAAGCGCACGCAGGCGGUUUGUUAAGUCAGAUGUGAAAUCCCCGGGCUCAACCUGGGAACUGCAUCUGAUACUGGCAAGCUUGAGUCUCGUAGAGGGGGGUAGAAUUCCAGGUGUAGCGGUGAAAUGCGUAGAGAUCUGGAGGAAUACCGGUGGCGAAGGCGGCCCCCUGGACGAAGACUGACGCUCAGGUGCGAAAGCGUGGGGAGCAAACAGGAUUAGAUACCCUGGUAGUCCACGCCGUAAACGAUGUCGACUUGGAGGUUGUGCCCUUGAGGCGUGGCUUCCGGAGCUAACGCGUUAAGUCGACCGCCUGGGGAGUACGGCCGCAAGGUUAAAACUCAAAUGAAUUGACGGGGGCCCGCACAAGCGGUGGAGCAUGUGGUUUAAUUCGAUGCAACGCGAAGAACCUUACCUGGUCUUGACAUCCACGGAAGUUUUCAGAGAUGAGAAUGUGCCUUCGGGAACCGUGAGGCAGGUGCUGCAUGGCUGUCGUCAGCUCGUGUUGUGAAAUGUUGGGUUAAGUCCCGCAACGAGCGCAACCCUUAUCCUUUGUUGCCAGCGGUCCGGCCGGGAACUCAAAGGAGACUGCCAGUGAUAAACUGGAGGAAGGUGGGGAUGACGUCAAGUCAUCAUGGCCCUUACGACCAGGGCUACACACGUGCUACAAUGGCGCAUACAAAGAGAAGCGACCUCGCGAGAGCAAGCGGACCUCAUAAAGUGCGUCGUAGUCCGGAUUGGAGUCUGCAACUCGACUCCAUGAAGUCGGAAUCGCUAGUAAUCGUGGAUCAGAAUGCCACGGUGAAUACGUUCCCGGGCCUUGUACACACCGCCCGUCACACCAUGGGAGUGGGUUGCAAAAGAAGUAGGUAGCUUAACCUUCGGGAGGGCGCUUACCACUUUGUGAUUCAUGACUGGGGUGAAGUCGUAACAAGGUAACCGUAGGGGAACCUGCGGUUGGAUCACCUCCUUA
rnacentral:rRNA from 1 species